rnacentral:rRNA from 1 species
CAGCAGCCGCGGGAAAACGGAGGGUGCAAGCGUUAAUCGGAAUUACUGGGCGUAAAGCGCACGCAGGCGGUCUGUCAAGUCAGAUGUGAAAUCCCCGGGCUUAACCUGGGAACUGCAUUUGAAACUGGCAGGCUAGAGUCUUGUAGAGGGGGGUAGAAUUCCAGGUGUAGCGGUGAAAUGCGUAGAGAUCUGGAGGAAUACCGGUGGCGAAGGCGGCCCCCUGGACAAAGACUGACGCUCAGGUGCGAAAGCGUGGGGAGCAAACAGGAUUAGAGACCCCAGUAGUCCCUGUCUCUUAUAC